CGCGUAGCUUGCAGCCUGGCCCGUAAUUUUCAAAGGCGAAAACAUUCUUUUUACGCAGACGAAUUUUUUUAGAGAAAAAAAUAAAUAAAUAGUGUUAGCCAGGUGAGGCAAGGUUGGUAUAAGGGCAGUUGAAGCCUAUUGUGUGAAAUAGAAAAAUUGGUUGUUUUAUAUUCCAGUGUCGGAACCAGAGUUUGGCGGCAUCAUCCGGAGGAGCACCGAGCUAGCGGGUGGGUUGGCUCAUAUGAUAGAUAGAGACUACCCGGAUUUCAUUUAGCUCGUCAAUAUAAUUACAAAUUUUCUAUUCGAAUUGUGAAAUUAAUAUCGCUUGCUUAGUAAUGUUAUAUUCUUAAAAAAAUUGCGUAUGUAUAGGGCAUUUCCAUCAAGCGUAAACUUUGUGUUUGCAGUUUGGUUUUUAAUAUUAUAUGUUGUGUUAUUAUUAUACAACAAAUUGUACUGACUUUCGUAAAUUGUACUGACUUUCGUAAUUAAAUUGAUUUCCCAAAUCCUUCGUGUUCAUUCAACCCCAUGAACCGCUUAACUUAUUGUAUAGACCUUUCAUUGAAAACACGGAAUUUAUUAACUCACAUUAGCACUCAGUAGAGAUGUACCUCAACUGAAUGUGCUGAGGUUUUAGCCGCCGCACUUAUUAACUUAACAAAAAUGAUGCACUUAAAUAAUAACUGCAGAAAAAUCAUUCUAACUAAAAUAUUUUAAAAUGUAUACGCCCGCACCUGCCACCUGCAAAUACAUACCUGCAACCCUACAUCCGAAUAAAAAACAAAAAUAAAUAUGUUAGUAAAAUACACAAUAAAAAUAUAAUAUUCUACACUGUUGAAAAUAUAUAUGGUGCCAAAACCCAUUCGCGGAAGGACCGCAACAAAAUAAGAUAUAGAAAAAUAUUAUAUUUACGAUUACUAAAUGAAACAAUCGCAAUCCCCAGCGUAGAAAACUUAAUAAAAAGCAUAGAAAACUUAACUGAAAAUAAAAUUCUUUACAUACAUAUAAAUAAAUAACCGAAAAAAUAAAAAAGAGUUCUAAAUAUAUAUAUAUAAUACAUAUGUACAGUCACAUGGGUAAAAAUGGGCAAAGACGUGUGGAAAAGAAAAUUAAAAAAAAAUAAAAACUACGAACCGAAUGAUAAAGAUCGCUUAUUAAAAAAUAACGAAACACAUAUCCACAAGGUCGCCCCGUGAACUUCAUGUCCUGAUGUGGGGUUCACCGAUUUAAGGUCAAGGCGCGCCAAUUUCUCUGUCGGGCGGGUCACCAGUCCGUUGGCUGUUUUUACUACGGCACUUCUUACUUGACCAUCGGAACUGCGUAUAACAUCUAUCACCUUUCUCUUCACCCAGGUGUUUCGUUUCGAGUUUUCAUCAACAAUUAUCACAACGUCGUUCGGGGCAAUAUGUUCUGGUAGACUCUCAAGCCAUUUUGCACGUCCUGUUAAUCCAGGCAAAUAUUCACGAAUCCAUUGUCUCCAGAAUUGAUCGGCUAGCUUCCCAGAGGCACGUAAUUUUUAAUUUAACAAUGACGGAAAGGCAACGUCGAAGUCAUUCUUUUCUCGUAUGAAGCUAGAACAGCCAAGAAGAAAGUGAUUUGGCGUUAGAGCCUCGCUAUCGUAAGAGUCCAGCGGGAUGUAGGUCAACGGGCGCAUGUUAAUGAUGCGUCGGAUAAGGCAGCUCUCAAUACGUCUUUACGCAGGGCCCCUCUUGCGAAUAUGUCCAUAAAUAUCGAUUUAAUGGAUCGGACCAUCCGCUCCCAGGACCAUAUGUGGUGAUGCUGAUAGUAUAAAUUUCUACUCGAUCUUAGGAUAUUUUCGCAUAAUUGUUUCAGAUGAUAUAUUCUCUAUUUCUUCAGCAAGUAUACGAUUAUCACCUCCAAAAUUAGUGCCGUUGUCAUAGAGAGUUCCCUUGGGUAUUCCCUUUCUCAAAAUAAACAACUUCAGCUAAAACAGAGAUGAGUCGGUGGAUAGUGAUGGCGAAAUCUCGAUGUGAACUGCACAAUGUUGCCAUGCGCUCAUGGGUAGCUUUCUCAUUUCAGAUGUUUAAGGUAUGGCUCGCCGAUUGCGACAAUAGCUUGGCCACGUUUCUCACCAAUGAUCGUAAGCCAUAAACGUGAUCGCUGCCACACCUCAUUUACCACUAUUUCCUUGUGCUGGUGAUGGAACCUCCGAUGAUAGAACUCUGUGAUGAGAUGAGUAAUUAUAAUAUUUCGGGGAAGUAGGAUAGGUCCUUUAAGAUCGGCUGGUGCUUCUCGUGCUUCGUCAAUUCGAUCCUUCACUCUCAGCAGCUCAGACUCAUCUAAAAAUGGAGGAAAUUUGUAAAUUAACCUUUUACGACUUACCACGCCGCUUAUUAUUUGACCAUAUUCUGUGGUAUAAUACUCUUACUGGCAUUUAUGAAAUAGAAAAGUUUCAGCACUUGUACAAGUUCUGUCAUCGAGGAACAUCUGUGUAAUAGGAUUUCCUGCUGGAGAUUUCAUAGUCGAACGAAGAAACCGAAGAAUGUACAUCUGAGCUGACCUUAGUUUUUCCCACUUACUGAACCUUUGUGGAUCCGGUGAUGAGCCAUGUAUUGGUGAGUUGUCUGUAUUCAUGUGUUGAAUUAUUUCCGCUGCAGUUUGAACUUGUUCUUCUACGUUAUCCUUCGAUGGUACCCACCGCCAUUUGUUGACUUGUGCAUCUUUUAGAAUUUCACCAACACGUACAGCCACAAACUGGUUAAAUUUUUGUGUGUCUGACAUUAUCCAGCAGAGGACGUCUUUCGAAUCGGACCAGAAAAUCCGGCGGUUUACUUUUAUAGAGAUCUCCAGUUCUAUAAACUUAGCUAGACGAAGGCCUAGGAUGGCAGCCUUGAGCUGAUGACCUUGGCACUGAGAGUGGUUUCAAAGGAGCAACUCUAGUUUUAGAUGCAACGAGACUGCAGCAAAUUUUGUUCAUUAUGCUCGAACGUAUAAAGGCCACAGCUGCAUAUGUUGAUAUGCUAGCGCCGACGAAGAUAUGAAGUUGAUUAUCGAUGCUAUGUCUCGCCAAUUGGUAGCACAGUGGAAUUCGAAUGAAAUGAAGCCUUCGCAGCCACUGUCACCGUGCGGAGCGUUCACGAUCUUGCACAGGCUCGUCCCAAGCUACGCCCGAUCGCCCCACAUCUUGUAAAAUCAUUUUGGCUUUUAUACGAAAAAAAAACCUAGCAAGCCCGAAGGAUCGAAGAUGGUCAUCACCAGCCGCAUUUUGUAGGAAGACGACUUUCAUUGAAGACCUCUGGCUUAAAUCAGUGAACAAAUGCUAACUCAUCACUAAUAGGAAGCCACCACAUUCCAAAAACUUUUUGAAGUUCUGACCCCGGUUCUAGGAAACACUUAUUUGUGAGCUUACUUUGGUUGGUCAUUGCUUGUAGAACUCGUUUGGAAUUCGAGAGCCAGUUUCGCAUUUCAAACCUGCCUUUAGAAUGUAUGUUGCGCAGUAGCAAGAUGAUUAAUUUCGUUUUCAUUGUCUGUACUGUACAGCCAG